CUUCCCUUUGCAGGAUGUACAAGGCUGUGUCCACCGCUCUCUGCUCAAUCAUCCAUGCAAACCUCUUCAGCGUGGGGCAGCUCGGGAGGCUGUGCACCUGAAAGGUCCAAGGUUCUUCAUCUGCCCCAUCUGAGAGCAUUGAAGGAUUGAAGAGAGGAUAAUGCUUGGCAAACGGCAAAGCCCCACUCAUGGCUGUAUACACCAUCUUUCCAGCCCAGCGCGUGGCUCUCCCCAGGCAUCCUGUACCUUCACUAUUAGCCUGUCACUACGGAGCUGCUCCCAGAGGCAGAUCAUCCCCUUAAGGACAGUGAAUGCCUUCAACAUGCCCUGGCCUUGCCAACAGGAGCUCUGCUGCGGUCUGAGCAAUGGAGAAAGCAGUAGCAGCCUUGCUUUGUUCAGCACCUCUCCUGCUGGGCCACCUAUAGCCGAGAGCAGGUACAGGUGCCGAUCAGACUGGCACGUCCAUGGCCCAGUCCAAAAAACGUCGCCUCGAGGUACCACCAGUACCUGGGGAUUCUAAUAAAGAAUGCGUCCUCCCUCACUUUAUCAGAACUAGGUGACAUUCUUGCUUCCCAAAGUCCGAUCCUAUAGGCCAAUAUGGUGACUGACAUGACAAUCUGAGAAGGGUGGCCACAGGGUCACAAAUUCUCUCAGACCCUAUGGCCUUACCCAAAAGAAAACCCAGGCUUCCAGAUGAACUACCAGGAACCAAAGACUAGACUACAGUGUUUCCUACAGACCUCGCAGCAGCUUGCUCCUGUCCAGAGCUCACGAGUACCCUUGUCCCGUCCAACGAUGCCCAAGAAAAGUGCUCUAACACCUUCCCAUGCUUUGCUCUGUGCCAGAGAUGGCAAUGGCCUGUGGUAGCGCCCUGUUCUACCCAGCUCAAGCCUCACCUUCUCUGAUGGCAGAGAAGCUUUUUGGAAUUCACUGAGGUCAAUCCAUGGAGUGAUUAGGUGAAUCUAAACCCCAAAGAGCUAUUAUUUCCGAACAAAUUAUUGAUAGCCAAAACCUCAGUAUUUAACAGUAGCCUAUGGUGACUUGAGUAGAAUACCAGUAUUCAGACACACUUUGUUGGUCUGGACAGAAAAAGCAAAUCAGACUGAAAGUCAUGAGUUUAGGCCUGAAUCUAUAACGAACCAGUAGGAUGGCCCUGGGAAGUCACUUCCCUUCUCUGGGGCUCAUGUGUAAAUUGAAGGGAUGAGACUAGUAUCAGCAAUUUUCAAUUGUUUCUAAAGCAGUGGAAGCUUUUUUCUCCCACUAUUAGAUAAGGUAAUAAAAGAAAAGGUGCUGAUGGCUUCAAGGUAGGGGUCCAAAGUAUAGUCUACCUGCAUGCCCCAACCCCCUCCUUUUCUGUAGUUUCUGACCCCUCUGAAGAAUCCUGGGGUUCCACAGGAAACGUUGUAAAAAAGAAUAGACCAAAUGAUCAGAGGCCCUCUCCAGAUAUACAUGUUUUCUGAGAAGCAGGAGAGCACAAGAGCGAAGAGUAUGGAUUGUGAAGCCAGACUGCCAGCGUUUAAAUCCCAGCUCCUCCAUUUACCUCCAUUUACCAGCGUUUAAAUCCCAGCUCCUCCAUUUACCAGCUUACUAUCUGUUCCUCAGAUAGUCAUUUAGCCUCUCUGUGCCUUAGUUCUCUUAUCUGUAAAAUGGGGAUAAUGUUACCUACCUCACAGGGUUAUCACAAGAAUUAAACAAGUUAAUAUCCGCAAAGCUCUUAGAACAAUAUCUGAUGUAUAGUAAGUCCUUUAAAUGUGAGAAUAAUAGUAACUAUGAUUUAAACCUCUAAUUAACACAUGAUAAUUCCUACCUGGUACCCGACAUUAGUGUCUGGAUAAUGGACCUACAGUUUAUGAUAAGUAAGGCACAUUUGAGUUGGCACUCAGAUACGCAUUGAAUGAAUGAAAGACAAAACGGUGCAGACCAACACCUUCCAGCUUCCCCCCACCAGCCUGAUUCUCUGUAGUUUACUCAAAACCUUCUGGG